rnacentral:lncRNA from 1 species
AUCAUAUCCACCCUUCCCACAGCUGAGCUAGUAGGGCUGUGCUUUCUGAGAGGAAUUCAACAGAAAAACGUUCCAUCUUUUGUCCCCUGGAAGAAGCACCAGUUUUUGGAGCAAUCUGUCUUCAAAUGUUUCUGUGAAAUUUUCCUUUUAGUUCUUGAUCCUGCUCAGACACAUCAGACCGAUACAAAACCCCCUGAGUAACGUCACCAGCCUCAGCAGAAUGUCUAAACUCUCUAAACUCCAACUUUGCGUUAUCACACCAUAACUACAUUAAAAUUAUGAACAUGAUGAUGGCAGGUUCUAGGUCACUGGCUUUCAAUCUUCCUGCUUAGGGCUGACCAUAGCAUUUGUCUGUAUUUUCUUGUCUCAGGGACUCCGUGUUUCCUUAAGGGACCAAGCUCUUGCUCUCCACAGCUCCUUGGAGCUGAAGGUGCUCGCCCACACUGAGUGAGACACUGUUACGUUUCUAUUUGCAGAUAUGCUGCUGUGAUGGAAAUUUCUGUUCCAACACACUUCCACACCGAGAGAAAUAGAGGAAAAAGAAAAGAAAAAGGAGUCAAAAGCCAGAAGGCCUCAUUUAAAUGCCAGUGUGGCAACCAAAGAGCAAGUGCCGUGGGUGCUGUGCAGCCAGACCUGGAGCACCAGGGCCAUCCAUCUGCCUCAGGAGUCCUGCUUCCAUCCUUGGAGUGUGCAUCCUUCCAUCCUCCAGUGUGCACCGGCACUUCAGAUUGAGGUAAGGACAGCACUGAAUAGGGGAAAAAGAGCAGGAGCUAUUCCCUCCAUUGAAUAUUGGCACCACCACGUGACACAUUCACUUGAAGACGAGCACAAAGGGAUUACAACACAAUUGUCCCCGGACAGAACAGAAACCAAGCUUCUCCUGCUGCUCUGGCCGGUCCCUAAACACAAGAAGGAGCUGUAGGUUUUCUCCAUCGCUGCUGGUGCAGCUGAAGCCUUAAGUUCCUUAAGCCUUUCCUGUUUCCAUCGCUGCUGGUGCAGCUGAAGCCUUAAGUUCCUUAAGCCUUUCCUGUUUCCCUGAGUUGUCUCUGAUUUCCAUCACCUCAGAAUGGGCAUCUGUGGCACGAUGAUGAGAAAGGGCAGCAUUUUCCUUGGGAAACAGCCAGAAAAGAACAGGAGCAGGUCCCAGACUGGGGGCUGCCCCUUGCAGGGAUUGUGUGUCAGCUCUGUUAGAAUUGCUAAUUAUUUAGGCACCUAAUUGGCUCUGAGGAGUGGAGGGGGAGAGAUGGAAAUGCAAGCCCUGGGCUGAAGGCCGUGCCCGAGGUGUGCCCAGCUCCCUGCACACCUUUUCCCCCCAGGUGCAG